UUAACUGAAACCAAAAAGAGGUAUAUUAUUGUUAAUAAUAAAAAUGGAUCUGAGAAUCCCAGUUAAG
rnacentral:tRNA from 1 species